UUUUUUAACAACGUGUAGCCAAAACUUACAAUUAAAAUGAUUACUUGGAGAAGACCGCCUUUUCCUUGAGAAAAUGUAUUUAUGUGUUGUUUUAAUACGUUUUUAACAUUAUCACACUAAUCGAUACAGAAGAAACAUUGAAAUCAUAAAUCACUUGCGACAUUACCAUCGAAAAAUGAAGAUCGCUGUUGUUCUUGCUCUUUUUGCCAUGGUUUACAUGGCUGGCACAAAUGCCCAGUGCGUUGAUGGAUUGGGUAAUAUUAUCCCUGAAGGAGGUCAAGUAAGUGCUUUUGGCAAUCUAUGCAACAGAUGCUCCCUUGGGUCGAUGACACUUGGCGGAUGUAAAAGAUCAAUUAACGGACGAAAUUAUAACUAUAACAACAUGUGGUAACUUUGCCAUGUAAUAUGACAUUUAAAUAAAAAGAAACCUUGUACAUAUACAAAAUUA